rnacentral:lncRNA from 1 species
UUCGAUUAAGUUCUACUGGUUAUACUGCAUAAUACUAAGUACUACUGAGUUAGUUAUACCAAAUUCGACUGAGUUAGUAAUACCGAGUUAUAUUGGAUCCAGAUCUGAAGAAAAUAAAUAAAAAACACAAAACAUACUUUGCAAAGGGGGAACAAGAACAAUAAAAUCCCAAAAUCAUAAAAAAAAAAACAGAUCUAUAGAGAACAAGAAGAACCCUAAUCAUACAAAACCCAUAAUCUUAAUUUACAACCCUAAUUGAAAACAUAAGCACAAUAAAACUCGAGAAGAGGAAGAAUCGCCAUUGAUGUGAAGCGCGAGAAGAAGGAGAUUUGAAGUGCAUAUGUUGAACUAUCGCCGUUUUGAAUAGAUCUAAAACGCGAGAAGAGGAAUAAUCACCAUUGAUGUUGUUUGUAUCACCUUCGAUCGUUGUUUUCAUCAUCUACAGUAGAUCUGUUUUACUGUUUACUGAGAAAAAGAAGAGAAUCGCAGAGAAAAUAGAGAAGAUAGAAAGAAGAGAAGAGAGAAAGUCGCCGAACGGUUGUGGCAGAGAAAAGAGAAAGAAAAGGAAAAAGAAAUAU